AAAAAAACGCUAGAUUUAGCUACGGAAUUAGCUACGGAAAUUAUUCUGUAGCUAUUCUGCGACGGAAUUACAACGGAUUAGCUACGGAAAUAAUUUGUUGAAUUUAGCAACGGAUUUAACGACGAAUUUCCGUAGCAAUACUUUCGCUACGGAUAUAUUCCGUCAUUAAAGUCAAAAAAAUUACUAAUUUUUGUUAAAAAAAUUUAGCUACGGAAUAACCGUAGUUAAAUCCGUAGCUAAACUAAAAUUUAAUUCGUAGCUACGGACUCUAUCCGUAGCGGGAUAUUGUGACUUAUUAGCUACGGAAUGUCCGUAGCAAAAUCCGUAGCUAAGACCAAAUUUCAAAUCUAAAGGUGCAGCCGCGGUUUUUCUUCUUCUCAUUUUCCCCUAAUUGCAAACCCUAGCGUUUCUCACUCUUCCGGCGCCGUUCAUCCCGUCGCUGCGGUUGCUCCGCCGUUUCUCUCAAAGUCGUCGGUGCCGCCACCGUGCUCGCUCACCGUCGCAGGCGCCCUGAGAGCACCUUUACUGAAGAAGAUGUUGCCAAUUACUUCAGUAACUUUGGACCGGUGCAGGAUGUGAGGAUGCCGUGCCAGCAACAACGAAUGUUUGGUUUUGUAACUUUUGUCAGUGCAGACACUGUGAAGUUAAUUUUGUCCAAGGGAAACCCCCAAUUCUUUUAUUUGUUAGAAAAUUUUCCUAGUGUUAUGCAUGGUAACUCAAUGCUCUACUAAUCUCUUAUUAAUGUGGGAAAAACUCAACUCUAUAACAUUUGGGAGUCUGUUUUAGGUUGUCUUAAUUUUUUGCUGCUUAUUACUUAUUUUCUGGUGAUUACUCGUGGUGUGCAGCACUCAAGGAGUUAGUCUGCCGGAUAGCCCUUUUGCCUCUGCGGUGGCCAGCAGCAUUUCAGCAGUUAUAUAGUUGAAGAUACAAGAUUAUAGAGCUUAUAGAGAGGUGCUGGUUUUAGAAGGCAACACCACUAUAUCGGGAGAGAGUAGUACUUCAGCUAUGUCCGACAUUGACAAAGAGCAGUAUGCCACUCGCCUAGGAGAUGUAGAGGAGCAGCUUCAAGAGGAGCGAGAAAGGACAUCUCGAUUAGAAGAACAGGUUAAAGUUGCAAUGGAGAUUAUCAAUCAGUUGCAAGGGCAAUCAAGCAGUGCCACUAGCCAUCCAGAUCCACCACCACAUGUUCCAUGAUUAUACAUGUGUUUUGAUUUUGAUAUCGACUAUCUCUAGGUGCUUGAUUUUGAAAUACUUGUUAGAUAUGUGAUUUUUAAACUAUUUUGGUUUGUGACUACUAUUUCUAGGUGUUUGGUUUUGAAAUACUUGUUAGACACGUGAUUUUUAAACUAUCUUGGUUUAUGACUAUUUUGGUUUAUGA